AGAUAUGACUCAGCACCAGACUCGCUACCACCUCUCCUGGACCAUCCACUGCCUACUCCCCCCAGAUUCCACAACUCCACACCUUCUCCUCACCUCAGCCACAGGUUCCUUCUGGAAAUAAUGAGAGAUUUCGGCAUUGUGGUCUCCUGUGGAAGUAGUCUCAGUGACAGAAAAAGGAAAUAAGCUGAGUUAUGGAGGUUAGAGUGCUUGGCAGCCAGGGCAACAGCAGCACUGCAGCUGGGAAUACAUGAUAAAGAACCAUAUUGAUUCACCAGGCCUACUACCGAGGUGGUAAUUUCCAAGAAGUCUCCUUGCUAGCAGAGAUAACAAAGCAAUCCAGAGCAAGGUUUUUGUAAUGAUAAACGCAUUAAAUGUUCAUCUCCUUUUGAUGUU